rnacentral:lncRNA from 1 species
GAGGGAUGCGAAGGGAGAAUUGUGCUUCUAAUUCCAGCAUUGUGGUGGAAUAAAAGAGCACAGCAUUGCAGCUGUUGAAUAUAGGCAGUUUUUUCUUUUUAUAGGCAGUUUUAAGAAGAAUGCAUUGAUUCUACAACGUGCUAUUGUGAAGCCAUCCGGGACUGUUCACUCACUCAUUUAAGAAAGGUGUAUUUUCCACUUGAGGCAGAGAAGCCUUCAGAGAAGGAUCCUGACUCGGUGGUUUGUGCAGUGACAUUUGGCAGUGUUUUCUCGGCAAGCGAGUCUUUGAGGCUGCCCUCAUGCUGCUCAGUGGGCACACCAAGAACAAGAGCUGGCCAGGGAUGACGGACGCAUCUAGGCCUUCUCGGCCUAAGGGUUACAUUAGUUAUACACUCUGGAGGUGACUUGACCUGUCAUUGUGAACAAUUAUUGCUCUUGGACGACCCAGGACAUAGGCCAGCCAGUACGUACCCCAGUGUGUUGGAGAAUCGCGCUCGGCUUCUUCCUCUGUGCUGAGUCAUGAAAGUUGCCGGAGCAGGUGCAGUUACACAACCUCCAGGUAUGAUCCUGUUUAAGGACUGGAUUUAGGAUAACUACUUAGAGGUUAAAAGUCACAAGGGUGUAUGGAUGAGGCUGGAGUGAUCUGGGACCAAAGACAUCUAGGCUUGCUGUCAAGGCUUCUGAUCAACAUGAGAUGACCGCCGUGUGGUAAACUGAUGAACCCUGACCCUGAUCAACAUGAGAUGACCGCCGUGUGGUAAACUGAUGAACCCCGACCCUGAUGAACGUGAGAUGACCGCCGUGUGGUAAACUGAUGAACCCCGACCCUGAUGAACGUGAGAUGACCGCCGUGUGGUAAACUGAUGAACCCCGACCCUGAUGAACGUGAGAUGACCGCCGUGUGGUAAACUGAUGAACCCCGACCCUGAUGAACGUGAGAUGACCGCCGUGUGGUAAACUGAUGAACCCCGACCCUGAUCAACGUGAGAUGACCGCCGUGUGGUAAACUGAUGAACCCCGACCCUGAUGAACAUGAGAUGACCGCCGUGUGGUAAACUGAUGAACCCCGACCCUGAUCAACAUGAGAUGACCGCCGUGUGGUAAACUGAUGAACCCCGACCCUGAUCAACAUGAGAUGACUGCCGUGUGGUAAACUGAUGAACCCUGACCCAUUAGGCUUUGGCUACAGAAUGUGGAAAUAAGUUGUGUUACUACAUGUGUGUAAUCCUAGGGUGCAGGACACCGGCCGGGAGGUUCCAUAGAGUGAUGGGUUCUGCAGGUAACUCAUCCUCUAGUCCUCUGUAAGCUCCUAGAAGGAAGAAAUUAUGUCCUUUAGACUAAUAAAAUUCCUCCAAACCAAAUACAGCACCUACUGUGAAGACACAAAGAUACUUUUAGAAUAGUAAAAACUUUAUCCAUUGAGAAAUUCCUUAAUGAAACAGUAUCCAAGAAGUCAUUUGCCAGCAGAUUUCUUAGAGGUGCGAUAAAGAAGAGGACAUUGCCAGUCGUCACAGCAGCUGCAAUAGCUCCUCUCUAUUGUUAAACAGUGGGAUAUCUUGUGCAGGUUUUCAGUUGACAAUCAAUUUUAAAGAUUAGUUUCGGUCCCCAUCAAUCAAUUAUUUAUUAACCCAUCAAUAAAAAUUUAAAUGCUCUGUGAGGUACAAUAGCUAUUAAAAGAGACAGAGGCACUUUCUGUGUCCAGAGGGGCUUUUAGUCUGCUCUGGAAAGCAAGAUGCGUGCAGAUGAGUGACGCAGUGCAUCGUGUGGAUGCAAAGGGAGGGACUCACAUGGGAACCAGAGGAGCUACGAAGGGAGGCAGUGGGGACUGGUGGGUCGAGACCUGGAAAUAACACAUGAAUAGGCAACAAAGGUUUCCUUUCCUCUUCCAUGCACUUCAGUCCUUGAAAAACGUCUUACCACGGAAUUCCACAGCGUACCAAGCGAUUCCACAGCUUGAUGGCACACUCUCCUUUCUCAGCAUUCUUGAAAAUGGCGUGUGAGCCAAGCCAUCUUACUGAGAAAUUACCUUAAACCAUUUGAUGAACCAAAAAUAUUUUGUAAUACCCAUCUCCG